CCCAUAAAAAAUGCCCAGAACAUAGGUUCUGGGCAUAGGGGAAUGGCUCAUUGCUGAGCCGUGCGCUAACUAUUGCAAGGGAGAAGUGCAUGCAAAUUCUUUCAGACGGACAAUAACUAUAGUCCAUAUUUGUUCAUUUUAUAAACU
rfam:Alteromonas naphthalenivorans strain SN2, complete genome.